rnacentral:lncRNA from 1 species
AGAGUUAGGGAGAGGCGGCCGAGCUGCACACCUUGAGCCCCGGCCUCCUCCGAAGGGAACCCCUGCACCCCAGCGGGGUCAGCACAAGGUAGAGAAGGUAGAGGUCAGGGUGGAACAAAAGGGAAGGUCCCGCGGGUGUGCACGCUCUCGCAGGCACACAGCCGGCUCGCGGAGACACAGGGGCGGGGGAGGGGAGGGGAGGGGAGGGGAGGGCCUGACCUGAGAGGCCAGAGCGGGCGUGGGGGCCCCCCUCGGGUCAGGAGCCGGCCUCACCUUUGCAGUUCUUAUAUACCCGGCCAAGCAUCCCAAACACGCGGCCCUGGCCAAGUGGCCCCCUCGGGCUGCGCUCCCUGACCAUAUUUAGUCAAGCAGGGGAAAAAAUAGCCUGUCAGCUGGGCCGCGGCUGGCCCGGCCACCGGGAACAGGGUGGGAGCACCCACGCCAUUGACGGCGGGUCCCGGGCUCAGGCUGCUGUCCUGCCCCUCCCGGCCCCUCCCUGACAGGCCUCCCACCGGCUGUCCCUGCCCGAGAUCCCCCCGCUAUUUUUAGCCCAGCCAGUACAGAGGCGCCUCCUCAGUAGCCGGGCAGCAGCCUCCAUGCCAUGCCAGCCGGCUCCUAGGGUGCCCUGGGGAGACCCGGGCAUCUCCCAGGCUGCAGGGCCGGGGGUGGGGGGGGCGGGCAGAAUGGUACGGCCUCCUUCGCUGCUCUGAGCCUCCAGUGGGCUGAGCCCACCCAGGCCACCAGGAGUGGGUGGCCCCCUCCACAGUCCCAUCGGCUCUGCCCUUUUGCCUAGAAUUGGGGCCAGGAUCAGGUGGUGACAGAGCCACCUGGGUUUCCGGAGACUCUCAAGCCAACCCCAAGUCAUGACAAAUGCCAGUCGCCUUGGACAGAGGCAAGGUCAACCUGCUUGCCGCCCCCAGCCAGGCCCUGCCACCAAGGGGCCUGGACGCAGAGACCAGAGGCCUGAACUGGCAGACUGUCCUCACAGGCUGUGUGACGCUGGCUGGUCGUCCCAUCUCUCUGGGGCCCCACAGGACUGGGGACCAGGUCGUGGAAUGACAGUGGACCACAGUGGUCCGGGGACCCCGCUCGUUGGUGGCAGGCACAGGCCCGUGUGAUGGGGACAAUGAGCUUUGGUAUUUGUGAGUCCUGUCCAGAGCAUAGGUCCUCCUGUUCAGAAGCCACCUCAUAAAUGUCCCCAGUGCCUCCCGGACUUAGGAAGGCAUCCCCUUGUGGUUCUGGCCAGUUAGGGACACAGGGCCGGGGAGUCUAUGCCGCUCAGAACAGGCUCAGCUGCAUCUAAUCCCAGGGGAGCCCCUGAGGAGCCUGCACACCCCCCAGGCUGGCCCACAGGAGCUGAGGCAGGGCUCUCCUCCAGGUUCACCUCCUGGGCUCACGGCCCCUUCCCCACAUCCCAAGGCCGGCUCUGCAGAGUCAUGGGGAGAAGCCGGAGCCCCAGCCACACUCGCCACACACGCCGACACCCACUCUGGUGUCCUCCGGCCAGCGACAGCGAGGGACAGAGGGACGCCCCCUGCACCUGCCCAGUGCAGAGGCUUCUUGAGUGAUGCCAGGCCCUUCUCCCAGCCCUGUACGCCCCGCUAAAGACCCCAUGUCUCACCAUAAAGGAGGCCAGGAGGUUUUAAGCUUCUACCUGGUCUGAGCACUUUUCUGGAAACUAAAUAGCCACUCGGCUUCCCACUGGCAGCGGGAGAGCGUGGUGUGAGGUGUGGUGUCCAAACUCCCCCUGCAAGGCCCCUCCCCUGCAGCCCACUUCCUCCUGCCUGCCGUCUCCAGGCAGGGUUGAGGGGGGCAGGCCAGGCCUGCAGCUGGGGUCAGGGGCAUAGACAGCCACAAUGGGGGAGGUGGGGAGCAGUCUGCAGGCCUGGGCAGGCGGCUCUGUAAAGGAUGCGGGUGCUUUGUGGUGGUGAGAGAGAGGGUAUGCAGCAGACGUGGCCAUAAAUCACCCUCCUCACGGCAGCCCCACACCCACGGACCAGGGCACGGGCACAGGGCCAUCUCCUUCCAGGAGAAGGGCUGGUGUGGGUGGCCAGAUCUGACAGCCCCCAGGCCGUAGGACAGAGCCAGAAGACAGAGCAGUUCCCCCGUUUACCCAUAGCACCAGCCUCACAGUAACAGCCGGCACACAGCACUUAGGCUGCCUGGUGUUCCAGAAGCUUCUGCAGGGGCUCUAUGCUGCACUCAAGGCAUCCCUAAGAGGAGAGCAUUUUGCUGUCCCCACUUUACGGAGAAGGAACGUGGGCUCAGGGUGGUUUAAGGCGUGAAUGAAUGAAGGAGCAAGCAGUAAGCCCCGACAGCAAGGCCACCACAGCCCUCGCCCCACAGGGACGCCUGAGCAAGGACCCAAGCAGGGGACAAGCAGGCUCACCCCGCCCUUGCGGGGCUGACCACGAGGCCCCGUCCGGUGGAACACGCCAUGACGCUUCAGGAGGCUCAUGUAGCUGGCGCCGUAUGGGACAGCGGGGGAGAGAGAAAAUGCACAGCCCAGGGAAUGUGGAGACAGGCCCAGCGCCAGGCAUGGGGGCCGGAAGGAGCAGCCGGGGAGCAGGGGGCAGGGCCUGGAGUCCCGCCUUGCAGGUCAGAGCUGGAGCAUCAGGGGCCCUGCCCAGCUGCGGUGCCCUGGGGAGGGCUGCCCAGCUCUGGCUGUGCCUUGAAAGUUUGCCCGAAAGAUUCACUGUUGGAGCAGAUGUGGUCACAAGAGCAAGGGGGGAUGUCAGAUGGCCUGGGCCCUGAGGAACAGAGUGCAUCCCUAGGAGGGGGACGGCCCGUCACCAGGGAGCCUUCUGAGACCAUUUUGUAGGUGGGGAAACUGAGGCUCAGGAGGAAAAGCCAGUUGCCCAGCACGCGAAGACCCAGAGCCUAUCUUCCUGCCCCUACAUCCUUGUCUGUCCCCAGAUCUGAACCUGCCCCAGCCCCAGGACUCUGAGUGCAGCAAGAGGGGAGCCGGGCUGGAGAGUGGGGAGCACGGAGACUGUGGCCUGGAUGGUGCCAGAGCAAACAGGAGAGAGGCUGCCCAACGCAGAGGCUGCAGCACAGACCAGAGGGUCCCGGGGCUGACUGGGUGGGGGCAGCUCCCAGCGAGAGGCCCCUGGGAUUUGGGUAAGUAGAGGCACAUGCAGACUCUGGCCACAGGGCACCUCGCGCACGAGGGGAGUUCACCACACAAGCUGAGCGGAGGGCGGACGCAGGAGAGCAGCGGUUUCUCGGAAGCCAAGGGCGGUCAUGGAGCCCCACGCCACAGCGCUUCCCACGGGGCCACACCAUCCGGUCUGCGGAGGGGGCUGCAUUGCCGGGAAGGACCAUCUGAUUCUGGAUUCCAGCCUCACCCUGGGCCACCGCUGAGUGUCCCAAGUGGCCCCUUAGCCCCCAGGGCCAGGCGGCAUCCCAAUCCCCUAGGGAUGUCUGUGCUCAGAAUGUGGCACACACGCCCCGGCAGGGCCAUCCUCCUCCUCCUGCACCCGCCACAGCCGUGGAUUCGGGGUCUCUAUCGUGGGCAGAAAUUCACACAGUCAAGGUGAGGGUCCCAGGAGCAGCUGUGACCAGGCCCCGGCUGCCAGGGAGAGGGGGUCUUCAGCCGACGGGGCAGACACCCUGAGAUGGACCCUUGUCCAGGGGAGGGCCCUGCCACCCACAAUUCCUUGGCAUUCCUGCACCAGCAGGACGGGCUGAGGGAGGCGCCUCACCAGUGCCAGCGCCCAGCAUCACUGUGCCCCGGUGGAGGGGGAGGCCCUUCCGAGCCUGGGCCUGGGUGUGGAUGAGGGCAGGUCUCUCACCUCUCUGACCUCAGCUUCCUCAACUGGGAAGGGGGGCCACAGCACCCCCUUAGGGGUGAUGAGGAAGUGGGAGCUCAGGGAGGACCCCGGGCAGGGCUGCCUCCUCACCUCUCUUCGGCCUUUGGACACUGGAGCUCAGAGGACCAAGUGAAUGAAUGAAUGACUCGAUCAAUCAACUGAUCCAUGAAUCCAUGGACCCCUGAACAGCUGGACAGCUGGGCUGUGGGCAGGACAGGGGACUCUGGCUGAAGCCGCGUUCAUAUGUGUUCAGCUUUAGGCCUCCACUGUGCCCGGACCAGCGGCCCACUCAGUGAGUCGAGUGUGCACCUGGCACCCCUCUUUCUGGAAAUCCACGAACAAUGGGCUCCCAGCAGAGGACUGAGGCUGAGCAGGCCACUUCCCUGGAGCUGACCCCACAGCUGUCCUGCUCCUCCUUCGCCUUCUGCCAUGACUGUAAGCUUUCUGAGGGCUGACCAGAAGCCCAGCAGAUGCCAGCACCAUGCUUCCUAUACAGCCUGCAGAACCGUGAGCCAGCUAAACCUCUCCUCAUAAAUCACCGAGCCCCAGGUUUAUCUUUACAGCAAUGCAAGACCUGACUAAUACAGCACCAGCUCCCCAAAAUAAAAAGAAAUAUUCAAACAAAUAAGCGCACAGAAGUGUUCCCAGCAGCACUAUUCACAGCAGCCAAAAGGCGGAGGAGCCACAGGCUUGUCAGCUGAUGACAGAUAAAGAAAGCAUGGCCUGUCAUCCCAGCACUUUGGGAGGCCGAGGUGGGUGGAUCACCUGAGGUUGGGAGUUCAAGACCAGCCUGGCCAACAUGGUGAAACCCAGUCUCUACUAAAAAUAUAAAAAUUAGCUGGGUGUGAUGAUGAGCGCCUGUAGUCCCAGCUACUUGGAAGGCUGAGGAACAAGAAUCGCUUGAACCCGGGAGGCAGAGGUCGCAGUGAACCGAGAUCAU